GCUUUAGAAAUCUCCAUGCGCUGUACCAAAUAUUUUAAUCCAUUUGUUCAAGGACUAUAGCAUUAAAGUUGUUGGCUUUGUAUAAAGAUGAUGUAACUGCUAAACGUGAUGAGAUCAGAAAAGAUCGAGCCAAACAGAGAGCAAGAGACAGGAACAUUGCUCGAGCUGCACUAGACAAAAGAUUUGUCCCCGAUAAAGACUUUGAAGGCACAGAUCGUAACCGGGGCGUGAGGGUUCAGUCCAGUUUACGCGAGAUGUAGAGGAGGAUCCUUUCAACUUGGACAGAUUUAUCACGGAGGCUAAGAAGGGCCAAAAGAGGUCAGCGGAUGAGUCUGGCUCCUCCCGGGACUACGACGGCAGCAGCAGUAAAGGAAAUGGAAGCAAGAAACGAAGAGACCAAUGACCAUUCACGAUUUGGACGUUGUUGUAUCACUUUCGUAUUUCAAUAUCUGUCCCUAAGAAUUGCGAACUGUGACGGCUGUUUUGAGAGGAAUCUGGAUAGCGUAUAUAUCCAGGGAUUAUUUACAUGUUGCGAGAAGUUUAAUUGCCACUAAAAUUGGGGUGAGUUGGAUACAUUUGGGGGGAAGAGAUGAAUUUCAGUUGCAAAAAGUUACUGCAGUAGAUUUUGUUUUAGCAAGUUUCAACUGAUAUGAAAAUGGAUGUACCAGUACUGCAAAGGAUUUUUCUGUCCUGAAUUUUCAUGGCAGUUUGAAACCUCUCAUUCAGUGACGUGAGCCUCAGUUGGAAGGACUGCUAGCCACACGCAGGCAUUGGGUGUUCGUUGUGCUGGGGGAGUGAGACAGGUGUUAUUGAUUUGACCUAUCUGGUGGACGUUUAGACACCUUUUACUGCUUACACCCAGAUAUGAGACCGGUGUGUGUGUGGUGCAGCGGUAAGACGCUUCGCCAUCACUUGUAGAAGACAAAAGUUCUUCAUCUCGUUCUGUCUUCUGAGAUGUUGUAUCCCUCUCAGCCCGGAUUGGCACUGGCAGUCGGGGUCAAUUAAUCUUACCUCCCAUAUGUUCAAAAUAGUGUUGGAGUGGGCGUAAAACACAUACAAUUGCAAGGUUUAUUUUACAGAUAAGCAAGAUGGAGAAAUGGGUGUCUGUUUGUCACAGGCAUUUUGAUGGAUGUUUGUAUAUUGUCUAUUCUUUGUGAGAUGCCAGUAAAAGUGGGGAAAUAAUAUUGUUUGCAAGGGAUUAGUUGUCAGAAUAGGGAAACUCAUUUUUAGAUUUUAAAAAUAUUUAGUAUGUUUUGCUUGCAAUUGUUGAUGAGGAUGUGUUAAGGAGCAAUGUUACAAAAACGUAUAAUAAUAAAAAAUGAAAAUGAAUACACGGACGCUGCAAAUGUUAUUUACAAAUUGGUGUGACAACCACUUCCUUUCUCUUAUUGUAAAAAAGACAAAUUUAUUAAUAAUAGACUUUAAAGUUUUAAAAGACCAAUUGCAACCACUGUUGAUUAAAGAUGAGGAAGUAGAGGUUGUAAAUCUUUACAAAUAUCUGGGAAUAGCCGUCGAUGACCAGCUUGACUGGCAUCCCCACGCUGCUCUUUUGCAUAUAAAAAUAAAGCAAAAAAUGUUCCUUCAGGAGAUUAAGAAGUUUUCAAGUAGAUGAUUAGAUCAUGUCCCUUUUUUAGCAUUCUUCUAUGGUCAAAAGCGUGUUACUAUUUUGUAUUUGUUGCUGGGCUGGAAACUGUAGGGUGAAACAGAACCACUAAAAAAGCCAGCAAGAUCUCUGUAUACAUAUGAUUUUACUAAAAUUGAUGAAUAAAAAUGAUCAGUAGCAUUAUAAUUAUAAACGGCCUAUCACACCCCCUUUCCACAUGAAUUGUAACAUCACACAGCGGCAGAUAUGUACCACUAAGAACAAAGAAAGAAAGAUACAAAAGAAGUUUUUAUUUACCAUCUAGUGUAAGUAUAAGGCUACUUUCAGAAUAAUAUUCUAUGUGUAUUGUUGUUUCGAAUAUGCUAUAUGUUAUAUGUAUUCACUCUAAAGGUCUUGUGAUAACUUCUUACAUGUGGUUGAAUGAUGCAUCUGAUGUGAUAUGUACAUUAUUGUCAGCAUUAUUUUUCUUCUCAUAUUACAUUUUAAUGAGAGUAAUAACAUGUAUAUAUAAUUAAAUUUCUUUCUAUGUAUACCUUCAUGUGUUUUUACAGUCCUGUACAGUCAAGAAAAAUUUCCCCCUGGGACAAUAAAGUUACAUUGUCUUAUCUAUUUUGGCCAAAUUUUAGCGGAUGUCAUUUGUGAACGGUCCCUAAUAUCAAGUGCAAAGCAGUUCCAUCACGUCUCUAUUUGAUGCGGUUUAACUUGCGAACCUUUUAGUACCGUAACAUGUUUUGUUGUUCUUUUUCCCUCCAAGUGAUCAGGCACGACUUAAAAGAAACCCACAUAUUAUUUUUUUAAAAUCAGGACGGGGAAAAAAGAGCUCUCGCAUUUGUAGUUGUAGGCACUCUGUCAAUGUUAGUACAUUCAUAAUAUGUACAUGUAUGUGGAGAGGCAGCGAAUACUUACAGAUUAAAAGAGAUGUCAGACAGAGAUGUACACAUGUAUACUUUCAACAGACCUAUUCUCCCUGUAUAGUGAAAACAUCAUGAGGCACAUAGAAGAAAUGCCACGUAUCUCGAUAGGGGGACAUAACGUAAAUAAUCUUAAGAUAUAUAUAUAUGCAGACGACACCGUCCUAAUAGUUGAAGAAGAAGAAGACCUACAGGAUCUAUUAAAUGUAAUCGUACAAGAGAGUGACAACAUGGGCCAAAGUCGAAACAGUAAUCAUCAAGAAAACUGAAACAAUGGUGGUAAGCAGAAAAACUCCAACCCAAACUUGCAAAUUCAAAAUCAAUGGUACACUCAAGCAAGUACAACAUUUUAAAUAUUUGGGGACCAAUAUAUCAUCAGGCAAAUUAAAUUGGACACACAAUACAGAAAGAAGCAUUGGAGAAUAUUGUAGCAACAGGCACGUUUGAUCGAAAGAGAGGCAGAGGCAGACAGAGGGAAAAGAUACUGGACAAGUUAACAACAUGGCUGGGAACAGCAAGAACAAUAGACACUAUUGCUGCAACGUAGGGCAGAGAGAAGUGGAGGUUCAUGAUCACCCACGCCAGUCAGCAAGGCACCGGAUGAUGAUGAUGAUGAUGAUGUGGAGAGGCAGGGGACAGGUUGCAUUUGGACGGAAGGGUAAAAUAAAAUUUGCCAUAUAUUCGU
rnacentral:misc_RNA from 1 species